rnacentral:rRNA from 1 species
AGAUCGGCUUACUGGUCGUGCUUUUGUACUUACUGGUAUUAUUGGUUUCUCCUUUCUGACGAACUAUAAUGCCAUUAAUUUGGUGUUUUAGGGAAUCAGGACUGUUACUUUGAAAAAAUUAGAGUGUUUAAAGCAGGCUCACGCUUGAAUACAUUAGUAUGGAAUAACGGAAUAGGACGUUUGAUUCUAUUUUGUUGGUUUCUAGGAUCGACGUA